UUUUUUUUUUUUUUUUUUGUUUGAGUGUGUUGAUUGUAGUUACUUAUGAGCUAUACAAUUCAGUGAUUGUAGUUUUCCUAAUUUUCUUAAAAGUUCAUAGAUAUUUUGAAUUGUAUUGCUUUCCAUUCAUGCUGCUGUUAAGUUUGAACUCUAUAUAUGAACUGUUUCUGGGUUCACUUUUUUUUCCUGUAUGUUGUUUUGGUUUAGUAAAGUAUCUGUUUUUAAUUAAUGUUCAGCUGUAAAUAUAUUUUCAUUUUUUUAAAUAUAGGAACAUUCUGUGAAAGCUUUGAUUUUGGUUCACCAUUUGAGUGAAUGUUUCUGGGUAUUUCAGUUAUUUGCUGUGAUGUGCAGGUAUUUUGAUUUUGAUUUCCUGUUUGGGUGUGUGACCGUUUCAAUCUUGUGCGUGUUAUAUGCAAUUCUGAAGUGGAUAACUUGUGAUUCUUAGAUUUUCUCUAGUUGCUUUUGUGAAAAUCUUGGUGUAAUGUGGGGGCAUUGUGGAGUAUUUGUGUUGACUGUUAACUAGUGUAGUAGCUAUUACCUGUCAGUGCUCUUUUGGCAUUUCAUUCUGUGCGUUUACUUAUUUCUGCUUCUUUUAACUUGUGGUAUUGUCUUGGUACUGCAGUGAAAUAUUUCUGCUUCUGGUUUGAGUAUAAGUUACCGGGUUCUUGCUAGUACAUGCAUGAAGCAGUUUCUUUAAGAAAGUUUUGGUUCUUGCUAUGGGGAUAGAUCUUGAACAGCCUUCGGGAGAAUUCCACCAGGCAGAUAAUGGACCUGGUGGGAAUAGUCAUAUGGUAGAUGGCAGAGAGGAAAAUACUUCUGGAGAUAGAGUGAUUGUAAGUGUAACUAACGUUCCUGUAAAUGAUAGGGAGAUUGCUGGAAAAAAUGGAAGUGUGUCAAAUUUCAAAAACAGGGUAGAUGCCAGAGAUGAAAUCAACUUGAAUGCUCCGAAAAAUAUAGAGCUUCAUGACGGACUGGAGUUUGAAUCAAAGGAAGAAGCUUUUUCCUUCUAUAAAGAAUAUGCCAAGUCUAUGGGGUUCGCUGCAGUAAUUAAGGCUAGCCGCCGGUCCAGAGCAUCUGGAAAAUUCAUUGAUGCAAAAUUUGCAUGCAGUAGAUAUGGGACCAAACCGGAAACUAGUCAACCUGAAACUGCAGAACCUGUUUCACAUUCCAGAGAGUCAAGUAUCUGCCUUAAGAGAAAACGAGGAGGUCGUGCUAGCCAAUCUUUGGAAAAAACGGAUUGUAAAGCCUGCAUGCAUGUUAAGAGAAGGCAAGAUGGUAGAUGGACUGUUUGUACUCUCAUUAAAGAGCACAAUCAUGACAUUUUUCCUGAUGAAGCCUAUUAUUUUCGAGGGCACAGGAAGUUAGAUAUAAGUAGCGGUAAUGUUGGUGGUAAUGUCGGGGGUAAUGUUGAUGGCUUAAAUGCUAUCCGGAGAAGAACAAAGAAUCUGUUUGCCAAUAUGUCCAGACAGUCUGGGGGCUACAAGAAGUCCACUAAUCCAAAGGGUGGUGGGAAAAAUCAAUCACCAAGUGUACAUCAUUUGUCUCUAGAGGAAGGAGAUGCUCAAGUCAUGCUUGACCACUUUCUAUGUAUGCAAGAUGAGAAUCCUAACUUCUUUUAUGCAAUUGAUCUGAAUGAAGAGCAGCGAUUGAGAAAUGUUUUCUGGGUUGAUGCCAAAGGUAGACUUGAUUAUGAAAUUUUUAGUGAUGUAGUAUUUCUUGAUACCACAUAUAUCAAGAAUGAAUAUAAAUUGCCAUUUGCUCCCUUUAUUGGUGUGAACCACCAUCUUCAGUUCAUUUCGCUUGGAUGUGCUUUACUUGCUGAUGAGAGUAAAUCAACCUAUGUCUGGCUUAUGCGGGCAUGGUUAAAAGCAAUGGGCGGACAUGCUCCAAGAGUGAUACUCACUGACCAGGACAAGUUCUUGAAAGAAGCUGUCGCAGAGGUCUUUCCUGAUUCUCGUCAUUGUUUUUGUUUGUGGCACAUAUUGGGUAAGAUGCCUGAGAAGCUUGGAUAUGUUACAAGGCAGCACGAUCAAUUUAUGGAGAAUUUUAACGAAUGCAUUUUCAAGUCUUGGACAAUUGAACAGGUUGAAAUAAGAUGGUUCAAAAUGGUUGACAGAUUCAAUUUAAGAAAUGACAUAUGGUUGCAGUCAUUGUUUGAAGAUCGUAGACAAUGGAUACCAGCAUUCAUGAGAGGCAUUUUCUUGGCAGGGAUGUCUACAACCCAGCAAUCAGAAAGUUUAAACUGUUUCUUUGACAAAUACAUGCAGAGGAAAACGACAUUGAAAGAGUUUCUUGAACAAUACAAUACAAUCCUCUGUGAGAAGUAUGAAGAGGAAGCAAAGGCAGAUUUUGAAACAUGGCAUAAACAACCUGCAUUGAAAUCUCCAUCACCUUUUGGGAAACAAAUGGCUACCUUGUAUACUCAUGUAGUAUUCAAGAAAUUCCAAGUUGAGGUUUUGGGAGUAGUUGCUUGUCAUCCAAAGAAAGAAGCUGAAGAUGGAGCAAUCAAAACUUUUAGAGUUCAAGAUUUUGAAGAGGAUCACCAUUUCAUUGUGGAGUGGAAUGAACUGACGUCAGAUAUAUCCUGUUUAUGCCAUUCAUUUGAAUUCAAUGGUUUCCUUUGUAGACAUGUGAUGAUUGUACUGCAAAUAUCUGGUGUACACAAUAUUCCAUCUCAGUAUAUAUUGAAACGUUGGACAAAAGAUGCAAAGAGCAGGCAGACAAGGGGUGUGGGAUCGAGUUCGUUUAAGUCUAGAGUUCAACUUUACAAUGAUCUAUGCAGACGAGCCUUUGAAUUGGGUGAUGAAGGUUCUUUAUCGCAGGAAAGUUAUAAUAUUGCAUUUGUGGCAUUAGAAGAAGCUUUGAGAAAUUGUGAGAAUAUGAAUAACUCAAUUCAGAGGGUAAUACAUCCAGUGUCUCCAGAGACUCAUGGUUCUCAUAGCUUUGAAGGAGUGAACCAAGGUAACAGCACUAACAAGAUGAAUAAAAAGAAUAGUACAUCUAAGAAAGGACAGGUUAGUUGAGUUUUCUGGUGGUUACUAUGUUUACAAUCCUGGUUCUUUUAUGAUUUCUCUGAAUGGUAACUCAGUUAAAAUGUCCCCUGAAUUCUUUUAGGUACAUUCUGAGCCAGAGGUCCUAACCAUUGAGAUGCAAGAGAGCUGGCAAGGACUGGUUAGUUAUGUUAUGUUUAUAUUUACACCUACGAGUUUUAAACACCUACCACAAUGUCAUACGUACUAUGAAAAAUGUGUUUCUUGAUAUGGGUUCCAGACUUGGGGCACUCAAGUUGAAGAACACCAGCCCUUGAUUUGUUUUUAUGAAUGACAAGAGAGCAUGCAGGAGAUGGUAUGUCAUAGUUUACUGACAACCAAACUGUUCUGGAAAGGAUAAAGCUGUUUCUUAUUGACAAAGUUUUUCAUUCAGAAUUCACGAUUUCCUGAAAGUCUUGAGCUAAGUACUUCUAUCUUUAUCAUAGGAACAAUUGAGCUCGAGUGCUACCACCCUAGAUGGUUAUAUUGGCCCACAACAACUAGUUCAAGGAAUGGUAAGAGAUCAUUUCAUGACAAAACUGAAAUUUGGAAUUUCUUUUAAGGACCAGUAUAACAAAAUUUGUCUUGUGCUUACGGAAAAAUAAUGACUUGUAUUCCUUGGAUCUUCUUGUAGGGGCCAUUAAACACAAUUUCCUCAAGGCGUGAAAAUUAUUAUAGCAAUCAGCAUAUGCAGGGGCUGGUAAUGCAUAUGAAAUAUCUGACCUGUGUGUGGAUGUGUUGCUAAACACAACUUUCUGAUUGUUGACUGAAACAAAAAGAAACUUCUUAAUGAGGUUCUCUUUUCCGUCGCAGGGGCAAUUGAACUCAAUCACACACAUCCAGGAUGCUCAAUACAUAAAUCAGCAAAGACUGCAUGGAGUGGUACAACACUCUUGUUUCUGUAUCAGAUUUUGUAGAUUUGUUCUUAUCAGGUCUUAUCAUAGACGGGAAGCAGGGAUUGCUUUGGAGGGUCAAUAUCAUCUGUUACCGACUUACUGUCAGUCGUGUUGUUUGCAUGUGUCUAGUAAUGACAGCAUAUUGCUUGCUUGCAGGGGCAGUUCCAUUUCAGACCACAAACUAUCCCGAAUUUUGUAAUUGCAGAUGAUCCGCAAGAUGUGGUACACUAAUCCUUACCUAAGUUAUAAACUUUUGUCUUUGUAUGAUUAUUUAUAUGGUCUUUCACUCAUGUUCCAGGAUCAUUCCACUGUGGGACGCACUCAGAUUCAUGGCUUGGCGUCAAAGCAUUUGCAGUCGAAACAUCCAUCUUGUCAGUAGCAAUAGAUAGGUACAGUGAGUCAUUACGGGCUUCUUUAAAACCAAUCUUGAUUCCAUCAUAGGCCACAAUUUGAUCAUGUAUGAUCCAUCACUUCAUCGUAUGUGGCAAAGAACUGGCAAUAUUACUGGCAUUUUUUACUGCUUAAUGAAACAAACAGGUUUUUCCAGCAGGUGGGGAGAAAAUAAUUUAUUGAACUGCAACAAUCAAUUUGAAGAAAUCCACAUAGGGAGAGAACGGGACCCUGGUCGUACAAUCUGUCAUCUUGGUCCGUAUGUAGUACAUAUUGGAAAGCCUCUGAAGCUGAAGGAAAUGAUCCAUUUACCUUUUAGUUGUAGCUGUGUUGUAUGUUAUCAUUGUGUCUGUCCAUGUACAAUUUUAGAUGUAAUCCAAAAUCCAAUUUCUAUAGCUGUAAUCCAAAAACUGAAAUUAUAUAAUCAAUAAAGUUUAUAAUCAUGUCCAAUCCUAAUAUCAAGUUUUUAACUAUCUUGCACUAGUACGUAACUAACACUGGUAUGGCGGUACAACCCUUUUUGGAAGAAAAUCUGGCAAUUCUUGGCUAUAGAAGUGCAACAAUCUCAAAAUUUAUAACUCAACUGCAUAGCCCUCCUUAACAACAGGGUUGAUUGACUAGCAGUCCUUCAAGAUUAUAAGCAUAAUAAGAUUAAUAAUGUCUAUAUUAAAUAGAUAUUAAAAAGAAAAACAUCACCCCCUUCAAAAUCUAAACGAGGGGAUAAGAAUCAUGGAAAGAAUUCAUCCAUUUGCGAAUCUAGAAACAAAAUCGCAGCUUUAUCAGAACAGCUCAGAUAUCAGUACAAUAGGAAAUCAAUCUUGAGCAACUUUCUCAACUUCAAACAAUUGGAGAACACCUGAGAUGUGUUUCAUUUGGAUUGAUAAAAUUCCAGAAAGCUGGUGGCCUGGUGUUUCCCAAGAAACGUUAAUUAAUCUCACAAAGUUCUCGUAGAGGAUUACAAAUGGAUCAAGUAUUUUAUAUCACUCAAGAACAACUUUCGCUCCAAGAGCUUUCAACUUCUCUACGAGUUGCUCUCCUUCCUCCUUUGACACGCCUGCCUUUAACACCGAUGGUGCCUUCUCCACUAAAUCCUUUGCUUCCUUGAGGCCUAAAUCAGUGAAGCUCCUUACCUCCUUGAUCAGUUUUAUUUUCGAAGCUGCCUCAAAGGACUCCAACUUCAAUUCAAAUACAGUCUUUUCUACUUUCUUCUCCUCCUUAGCUGCUGCUGGUCCUUUCAUUGCCAAUCCUAUUGCAGCAGCUCCUGGCUUCAUGACUCCCACAGUAGGUGGCAUCUUCAUUCCCUUUUUCUUCAUGAUAAUCAAACCUAGUUCAGCAACUUCAGCCAGUGUGAGAGAUGAUAUUUCAUCUACGAGCCUAAAUACACGCUCCGUGGGAGGACUACAAUGCUCUGUAGGAUCAAACGUUGCUGGAUCAUAAUCAGCCGGGAGUCUCCUCUGAUCAUACUCCACUUCUUCCUCCUCCUCUUCUUUCCUUGCAGGCUGACUAAAGCUCUGAUAAAACCCAUUUAAACCACCCGGAUUCAGUGUUCCGAGUGCAGAGAUAAAGGGUCUUCUGCAAAGCCCAUUAGGCAAAUGAUUCCUUAGUCUCAAGAUCAAGCUCAUUUCUGCAGGUUUCCACAAGACUUCUGUUCUCUAACAAAUAAGAAAUCAACAAUCCAUUUCACCAGUCGCUUCAACAAUUAUCCAGAGCAAACCUGUCAGAUUCAAUCUGAUAAGGUCCACACGUACGCCUCAAAUCCGAAGUACUCUAAGUUGAACACAAGUUCUAACAAAAAAUCGUAAAUAAAUGAACUAACACAAACAAAAAAAGAACUACAACUACCACUCCUCAACUUUCACCUUCAUUUCCUAAGGAACUAAAUUUGUAAACUCAAACAUGGUAAACUGUCUACAUUGGGAUUCUCUUCAAAAUAUCCAAAUCAAAAUCAAAUACAAGGGCAAUUUGACUCCUGAAAUCCCAUCAUUUUGGGUUUUUCUUCGAUACCCUUAAUCAAAAGAUUGAAACUUUUUCUUCAACUAAGCUUCUGCAUCAAUAAAGCAAUAAACUUUCGAAGUUUGGGUUAAAAAUCUCUGAUCCCAUUAUCCCAGAUCGCCAAAAACUUAAUUUGGCAUAGCCACUUCGUCAAUUCUAAGCCAAAAAACCCACCAUUUCUGAUUCACCAGUCCAAAUCAAGCAUUGUAAAUUGCAUAUAUACAACCUACAGAUACAUAUUAUAUAAAAGAGAAGGAAGCGAGUACCUUAGAGAAAGCUGAGUACGUGUCAAAGCUAGUGAGAGGUGAGAUGGGGCAGAACCCUAGAAAUCGACCAGACUGCGAGUGAGGGUUUUAGCUUUGUUUUAUUUUUCUGUACCGGGUCUAAAAUAUAUAUCGGGUUUUAACUCGACCCGGCCCAAGUUGGAGGACACGUGGCUGUAGCUGUAUAAACUUGUUUUGGGAAGAGAGGGGUGGAGAGUGGUGGAGAGAUGGAAAAACAGGGAAGGUUGGUGGUUGAAAAAGUGGGAGGAAGGUCAACUGUGACAAGGAGCUUCUCAAAGUACCCUCUCAAAUUCAUUAUACCCAGAAAGGUCUCAGCUUUAUUACUCACUUUUCCUGUAGUACUGUAGUAGCUAAACUUGAUAUAUGUAUUUUGGUACCCUCUUGUAAAGAUAGGUAUAUCAUCAUUAACUUGGUAUAGGAUGAUCUAAGAUAGGUUUCAUUAGUAAUAUGGAGUUGGCUUAUUUGGGUAGGUGUAAUUUGAUCACAGUAAUAUGAACUGAACCUUUUGGAUGUUGACUAUGAUGAUUGUUCAGGUGGGUUCUUCUAAAGCUGAUGCUGUUUGGGUUUACACCCUCACCUAUGGUGGUGGCAUUGUCACUGUAUGCAACUAUCCACUGCCUCUCUUUUCUGGGUUGUAUUGUUAUGCAGUAAUCUUAAGUAGUUUAUUUAUGAAUUCUUUUGUUGUUGUAUUUAGGGGGAUUCUAUUUCUUGUGAAUUCACCAUUGGAGAUGGUUGCACCACUGUCAUAACAACCCAAGCUUCCACCAAGGUUAUUUGUUUAUAUAAGAAAUAUCUUUGUGUUGGAUUUGAUAUGAUUGGUCGACUAGUCUCAUUUCCUUUGUUCUGUCGGAUGAAUGGGGUUUUGAAUAUUUACUUCAUAGAACUGUAUUGAAUCUGGAGUUCUCAAAUAGGUUUAUGUUGUUGCGUAGGUAUACAAGUCUCUGGGAGCCAAGUGCUCUGAACAAGUCAUGGAGGUAACCAAUCUGGCCUAAACCAACAUAUGAAAGCAACCAAAUCAACUCUUGAUUGGGGGUUUAUUAAUAUAAAGUUAAACAGAUCAUGUUAUGUUUUGGUCUUUUGGAUUAGUAGUGCUAAUUGCAUGAAUCAUGGAAAUCAAAACGUUGAUUGAAUUUGAAAGUUCCAAUUGAUUUCAAGUGACAGCAGCUUUUUUUUUUUUCCAUGCAGUAGGCAAGAGUUGGGAGCAAUGCUCUUUUGGCUGUAAUUCCAGAUCCUGUGACAUGUUUUUCCACAGCAAGAUACUCCCAGAAACAAAUCUUUAGGGUUGCCUCUGACUCAAGUUUGGUCCUUGUUGAUUGGAUUACCAGUGGGCGUCAUGAAAGUGGAGAAAAAUGGGAUUUUGAUCUUUAUAAGAGUGCAAACCACAUCUUUAUAGGAGAUGAGCCUUUGUUUCUCGACAUGGUAAUCUUUUUCUUGUAAUUAGUUAUUCAUUUGUUGCAUUUAAAAGAGGCUACUAGUUAGUUCUUACAUAUAACUCCUGAAUAUGUCAAUCAACAUUCCAUAAUGCUUGCCAUUUCAUUUGACUCAUCCCUAUCCCUUUCUUUGUCUUUUCAAGUACACAAGUGGUCAGACUCCUUAUUUCUUUUAUCUGAAUAAUGUUUCCUAUUCAUGCUUGCACAAAUUUUUAUGGAUAUCAGCUUGGAUGUAGAACUUUUGCUUUCUUCCUUUCCUCUUCACAGCUAGUUCAAUGUUUCUACGACAGGUGCACCUGGAGAAUGGAAGUAUUUCUUCAAUUGCAGAACGCAUGCAGGAUUAUCAAGUCAAUGCUAUGGUUGUCCUGUUGGGGUUAGUAGCUUCAGUAUGUAUAUAUACACUAUGAACCCACUUUGCCAUCAUUCUAAUUCUAUGUACUGUUUUAGAGAUGGAUGAAACUCAUGAAAGUUAUUAAUAGAUCCAAAUGGUACACCUUUUGGUUGCUUUAUUAUAGGCCAAAGAUCAAGCACAUUAAAGACUUAGUUCAAGAGAAUGUGAAAAGGAUGAUGGCUGAGCAAUUACACAAUCAUUCCACUGCUUCAGGUCGCCAACAGAAAAUAAAUUCUGAUUAUCGCCUCACCAAACCAAGCUUUAUUGCUUCUUCAAGUAUUUUUGGCCCUAAGGUAUAGAUAAUAAUGCUGCAAUGAGUAAUGGCUUGCCAUAUUUUCCUAAUAAGAUUGGCAGGGCCUCUUAUUUAAGUAAUUUGCUUUGCUAGUAGUGAAAUUAUCAUUAAAUCAUCAAGGUCUGACUAUCAAAUCCAGUAACGACCUCAAUAGCAUAGGCAAUCACUGAAUAUUCAAAAAGAUCUUAAUGCAAUUUCUGUUGUCUGGUUCUGUUAACCUUGUCUGUUUUGUUUGAAGAUCCAGUUGCAUGUUUCUUUUCAGUUAGUGUAGUAUUGACAGGCAUCUGAUCUAAUGCAAAUCAUAUGUGAUGUGUACAGGGAAUAGGGGUUGUUGUUCGUAUAGCUGCCACAACAACCGAAUCAGUUUACAAGUUCCUGCAGCAUCAAUUGGCCGGCAUGGAGCCACUGCUUGGUGUAUCACCAUAUCACUAAACCUGCAUAUGCAGAAUGUUUUGUCUCGUGAAAGGAAUCCCAUAGGCUGUGAUUUUGUUGUGACCAUGAACUGAUUCUAUGACCCUUAAACUAGUUUUUUUUUUAUAUUUGGCUCUUUCACUUGUUUCCCCCACCUACGAUCAACCUUACUAUCACCAGAAAAUUGCUUAGCUGCAUGGAAGUUGGAAAUCUAAUUAUUUCAUAGCAAAUGUUCUGUGAUAUGCCUGUAUUAUCCGGAAACGGAUGUGACUGUGAUCUGAGUAGGAAGUACACAAGGAAAAAUAAUGUUCUGUAGUGAAUUGCACUUGAUGUAAUUAGAUAAAUGAGUAGCUGAAUUCUUUUGGUCAGCUGAGUUCAUCUGUGGUAAAAUUUCACCAUUUAAUACAGUUGAUAUGAUCCAGAAAACUUCCAACUUGUCUCAGAAGAAAUUUAUAGUGUGAACCGUUCUAUAAUGACUACGACCUGGCAUGAAGGACAUGGCAACCAAAUAAUAAAAUGCAAAACAUAUAUUGAUAACAAGAACCAACACCAAAACAUCCCAAGACUGUCAUUUUAUACAACACAAAUACCCCCUAAUCUAUCUCAACACAUCAAAGAGAUAGACGGACCUAACUCACCCACUCUAAGACGUUUCAUGUAAACAAAGGAGCCGCACAAAUUAAGAACAAAACAAUCUUUGUAACUCUUAGAAUGUAAUCUCACAAGGGGCAUGGAACGUUCUUCCACGGCAAAUAGCUUCUAGGUUUUCUCCGGCAUAAGAACAAAGAGGUGACACCUCCACACCUGGUUUCAAGAUCGAUUGUGUCAAAAUACUAACAAUUGCACCAUGGCCGGAGAAAAAAUGAAAAUGCUAUAUGUUCAAAAGCAAUAAUGAAUAAAAUUACCAGUUGCGUAUAAAGGCACCGAAUGUGUUAAGAAUCCACCAGCAGCAACUACCCAACGAGUGUGAAGUCGAAGAACAAGAAGCCUAGCACUGUCUGGAGUGUCAAAAUUUGACCCGUUUGCAUUUUUUACUGGUGCAAACUCUUCUUCACGCAACACCUGAAAUUUUGCAAACAAAGGCAGCUCUUAGUAAGACAGUUGACUAAAGUGUACUUGGGUAACUUAAGAGUACUUGGGCUUUGAGUUACAAAGAGGGUGAAAUUGAAUCACCUCAUAAAGUGCAGUUGAUGGUGCAUAUGGAAACGCAUCAAAAAUAAACUGCUCUAGUUUUAAUCCCACUGUCUGUCCAUGGAUAGAAGGAAUCUUCUUCUCGGCAAGAUGGUAACUGCAUUCAGAAGAACAUGUUUACAAAAGCAUCCUUAUAAUAGCUAAGACUAUGAAUGAGGAACUCAAAAUGCAGGGUGGCAAUGAUGUAGAGACCAAAAAAACAAAGUCAUUUGAUAUCUGCUACUUCGCAUUAAUAUUUCUUUAGUGCAUAACCCCAAAGGCUAAUGAAUGCCCCAGACAAAUGGCUUUUAAAAGCUAGCUGAGGAUCCCUCUCCUUCUAUUACUUAGCGAACAUGGAACCUCAACAUACAAAGUACAGAGUAAUAACAAUUUGACAAUAACAACAGCAACAAGUUGACGUCACCUUUGUCAUUUCUAACACUCUAGAUAUGAUAAAAUGUUGGUUUGAAAAUUUUUUUGUUUUGUAGGAGAAAUUAAAAAGAUGAUAGUGCUUAGACAAGAAAGCUAACAAUCUACGGCUUUGUUGCGCAGAUAUGAUACAAGGUACAUAUAUACAAUGAUAGACAAAGUAUUUUGUAAAGAUCAGACAUAAAGAAAUAGAAGAAAUACAUACACAGUUGAAUUCAUUUCUUCAUUCCUUUUGUUAUUGAUGUUUGUUUUAUUUAUAACAUGAACCCUUGACAUUUAAAAAUAAAACUCUGAUCUUCCUUUAUAUCAAAACAGUACUAGAUGUUUUUAUACUUCCCUUACACUGUGGAUUAAGAAGCGACACAAAACCGAGAGAGAGAGAGAGAGAGAGAGAGAGAUACUAACAUGCUAUCUUUCUCAAGGCCAUUCGCUACUUGGUUUAGAAAAUCGAGAGUGAACAUGUGCAAGCACACCUGGAAAAACAUGUGACAAAGAGUUGCUGACACAUCAAUCAAAAAGUACACAACUAUCAUUGUGGAAUUGAAAAUCUUAAGGAACAUGCCAAGUCAAAAUGAACAACAGAAACAGCGGUAUUCAUGCAGCUAAACAUUAAUUCACUAAAGGGUAAUGAAAGGCAUUACAUUACUCCAACAGAAACGAAGACGUCCCGUUUGUUGAUUGAUUGCAGAAGUCAGAGACGGAUCCAUCUCACUGUAUUCCACCACAGUAAGGGGUCCACCUUUUCCUCGUCGUACAAACACACCAACCUUUUCUUGGGGAUAAGCCUGUCAUAAAAAAAUCCAAGUAACUCGAUACAUAAUACAUCUAAAAUCCAAUACGUGUGCAACAGUACAAAUUUUAGAACUCAUAUGUGUAUCAACCAUUUGUAGUCGUAAAUGGAUAUAUGCUGAGAUGGAUAUGGGGCCAAAAGUAUACUUAGGGAAUAUCUCCAUUAUUUCUGAAUUUAUUAAGAUAUCCAUAUAAGUAAAAAAUGUUUUUUUAUUGAUGGUUCACAGGAUAUACCCAGACUAGUGGGUAUGAGCCAACAAAAAAUAUACUGAUAAAGCCUUAAGAAUUCCAUAUUAGUGUGUGCAAUAAUAAACAGAUGGGGAAGAGAAAAUACAACACUAAAAAUUCUUAUAAGGAAAAUUUUGAUUCAAAUGGAUUGAACAAGGAAGUGGAAGCUUUAAUGCAAUCCACUUCAAUUGCUUUCUCAAACUCUAAAAUGCUAUAAAAUUUCAUGAAGGAUACUAGUUACCUUACGAACAACUUUUGCAGCGGAUGCAACACCUUUAUCAAUGAAAUAGCCCAAGAAAGUUGGAUCAGCUACACGAACCUGCUUUCAAGAACCUCAUAAAUAUACUUUUAAUAUAUGAAAGAACUUUCAAGUCUUCAAUAAAUGAAAGCAUUCCACUCCCCCUUGGUCAAAUUGUUAAAAGCAAAGAGUGUAUUAUCUCUUUCAAUUUAGUGCAUAUAAAACAAAAUUAUUCGUUUUGUUUACCCACCCUUAGUGUGAAUCAUGAAUGUGCAGGUGAAAUUUACCAUGGGACAGAGAAGAGAAAACGAAUGUGGAAGAGAAAGUAUUUCUUAUCCGAAGGGUUCUUUUAUUUUGUCCAGAAAGCCCACUUUAUGCAGAAAGGAAGAAAGCUCACCAGUGCAUUGUCAACUCCAUAGCAAUCCACAUAUUUAAUUCCUCUUGUAGCCAUAUCUUCUAAUAACCUCGAAGACUUUAAAGCUGAUCAACACAGGGCUCCAAUUAACUAAUGAAUAUUUAUCCGCAGUAAAACAAAAUAUAAGAAAUUAAUCUCAUACAUGUUCAACUAAAUAUUAUAGAAAAGUACCUGAAUAUACUCCUCCAUUCCCAUCUGGAGCCUUAGCUACCUGGCUUAAUAAGUAAAUUGAUGUUAAUCACAUCUUUUUUUUGGAGUGAGAGAUCAUAAUCUCAAUGGGCAAAACUAAAAAGAGUAUGAUAUAAUAUAGUCUAUACAAGAAAAUGUGGAAGGUGAAAACAAGAGAGGAAUUGAAGUAUUGUGAUAAUUGUCAAUAAAAGUUAGUGAAGUUGUAUACAGGAAAUGCCACUUGACAGAUCCCUGGGCAUAAAUUCGCUCCAACAUCUAAGAGCCGCAGAGUAAUUCUAUCAUACUUCCAGGGGAUGACCACCAAAAGGAAAACAAUGGGAUUCAGAAUUAAGUGAGCUUAUGAAGGAGUUCCAAAAUGAAUCUGAAGAACCACUUUACCAAACCCUACCUAAGAUGCUUUUUUCAUAAGUUGUAGUUUGAGAACUAGAGUGUUCAAGUGGCAAUUAUUCAAUUUUUAAUCCAUAUCUAAGUUAGCAAUCUACUUAUAAUCUAUAAACACUGAGCAUAAAGAGUUCCAGUACAAAUAAAAAUCAUACUCUGUAAGGAGAUUCCAUGAUAUAUCUACCAUCCCCUGAAACACAAGGUAUGGUGCCUUGCUGAAAAAAGGUAACCUGCAUCAAGAAGUGUGACCUCAAAAGGUAAGCAAAACCCCUUUACCUUCAGAAGAUGAAAAAUGACAGAAGAACAAAAGAACUAUUGGCAAGAGUAAAGGAAACAGGCUCUGAAAUCUUCUUACCUGAUCAGCUUCAAGACCAAAGUACUUAUGACUUUCAAAAAAUCUUCUUGUGGCUUCAUCAGUAAAGGGACUGGUCAUAAUAUACCAAUGUAUUUGCGGUGGUGUGGUAGAACCUGAAUAAUAUAGUAAUUAGUACCUUAUAUUACUCAACAGUUUGCAAUGAAUGACAAAAGUCUAACUCAGCUGUUAGUAGCCUUAUCGUUUAAAAGACCUGGCUCAAAUUUUAGCUUCACCAAGACGAAGGAUUUUGUGGCACUGUUUAUGGACUGAAAAGAUAGGUAAAGAAAAGAGAUAAACCCUACCAUCAUUUGUAGACUGAGCAGCUAGUCUCUGAACACAUAAAAUCCGCUCAGCUUGAAGUUGAAAGAGUGACUUUCCAGAUGGAAGCCCAAUAUCUAACAAUCAAGCACAAAAAGAAAUAUAAGAUAAUCAUUUCACAUAAAAUUCAGUAGAAAAGUAUGAUGGUCUGAACCACGUGGGGAAGGAAAAGAAGUACUACUCACUGAAACAUCCCUUUGGGUCUGAACUUCCAAGUCGAGUUCCCUGCACAAAUCAGCCAAACACACACUUGAAUAAGUGAGGUAUGCAGAAAAUGUGCAGAAGAAAACAUGCCAGAAGAAGCACAAUAAUUUUAUUUUUCUUUGACUAUCUUGCUUGCCCAACUUAAGGAAUAAGAAAUUAAAAAAAAAAAAAUAGGAGGGUCACUAGAGGGUCACUAGGGGAAGGUUUGCUUGCCAAAUCAUGGCUAUAAACCUUUUACACUAGAGUGAACUAUCUCAGCAAUCCUACUAAAGUUUUCAAACAAACAAUGUGAAAUUUUCAACAUUAAGAAAGAUAGGUAUUACUGCUAUCUGAUUCAGUUUCUCAAACAUUCAAAGCUCUAAAAUCUAAGAAAACUUGGUUUCUUGCAGUGAAUAAGAAAGGUAUGGUCCCGAAAUAUGAUAUGUUUGAUCAUUUCAUUCACAAAGAAAAUUGGUAUUAGCUUGCAUUACCAGAAUGUAUUAUUAUUAUGAAGCUUGAAUAUUUUAACGUCACUAUUAGCUGUGCACAAACUGAAACAUACAGUUAUUUGAGUCAUGAAGCUGGCAAGAUGCUCCUUGACAUGAUCUUCAUAGGCAUUAAGAUCUUUGUCAAAAGUAUUGGGCUAGAUAAGGACUCUAAACAGCUCACAUAUACUGAUACUCAACUAGGUAGGGUUCUUGCAUUAUGAAGUUUGCUACCAGGGAACAAUCCACAGUACACAGACCAUUAUAAUUUUGAAAACAUACCCCCCACCACCCUCUUGCCUAAGAAAGAUAAAAUUUAAAGAAAGUCUUGGAAUCCUAUAAAGCAACUUUGUUGUAAAUAAUCAUUACUCAAGGGAUAAACCAUGUUCUAAGCUUUUUCUAUCACCAAGACUAAGUGCUAUCCACAAAUGUCCCAAAUGCACAUCAAGAAAAGACCAUCAUACCAACCAGAGAGAGAGGGAGAAAAAAAAAAAAAUUAUUGGUACAAACAUUCAUAAUUCAAUAAAGCGACAUCAUACCAAAAUAAUAGUUAGGGGGUGGCUGAUUAAGUCCAUUAUACACUCAAAAAGUUUGAUCCUUCAUUCAUAAUGAACAUGUCUCAUAUCCAUCGAGUUGUCUUUAUGUGCACAUAACCCCGAAAAGCGACAUCAUACCACAAAAGUUAGUGUUUGAUGAGAGAGAGAAAGACACAUUAUUAAUCCAAUAGUUCUCUUUUAGUGCAGUGAUAAAGUAUAACAUUAUGUAAAAGCAACGAGUAAAGCCACAUUAAGCACCAAAUCCAGAAAGUUAAAAGCUUAAUUAAAAAAAUAUCUCUUACCUGUCCACCGGACAAGAGCAACACGCCUAAUUUUCCGUCGUGAAUUGCUUUCAAUCCCAUCUUCCACCACCUCUCUCGGUCUUCAAGACUCCGCUGCUCCACGCUCGACACACUGCUCUCCGGCACCGGCUCAAUCGCCGCCGUCGGUAGCCCUGCGCAAUCCAAUCCAAACCAAAUCAAAAUCCAUCACAAUUACACUUACAUUAUCACAAUGUGUGCUAACAAUAAUAUAACUAACCGUGAGAUCGAAGCGAGCACCGAAUGAUCCGAUCGAUUCUCGAAAGAUCCAGGCUCUGUUGCACAACACAAACACAAAUUGCAUCAAUUUCACGGAAUCAACCACAAUGCAUUUGAAAAAAAAAAUUAAAAAUAAAAAUCUGAAUCCCUGCAUGCUCUGUUUGUAAGAAGCAAGGAGAGAGAUCUAGGGGUGGAAAUGACCUCGAUGUCCUUGACGAGAAGCUGACGCUCGUCGGAGGAGAGCUCGUCCCAGUGGGCGAAGGCGUCUUCUUGGCCGUAAUCCUUGAGGCGUUCCAGCAAGGCCUGGGGCGGCGGAGGAGGUGGCGUCUGCGACACGUCGUUUACAGGCUCCCUCAUUUUGUUUUUCUUCUCUCUCUAGAAAUUUCGAAUCUUUCUCUCACUAGAAAACUGAGUAGAUCUCUCUCGCGAAGAGUGUGAGCUUAUAGUGAGAGAGAGCGAGCAAAGAAUCCACAGAGGACAGCUAACAGUAGCAGUGGCGAGGAAGACAAGAAUCAAUCAGUAACCACCUACUGGGUGUGAGAUGACGGUAAUGCCCCUGACCCGGUUUGGGGAUCCGGGAAGUGCGGGUCGGGGUCGGUCUAUUUGUGGGGUGUGGGGCCCGUGGGAGGACGGACGGGGCGUUGUGGGUAGUGGUGAUGUUGGGGAAAACUAGGAGGUAGAGCGAGGCUUCAACCACCGAUUUGUUUGACUCUGCCGACAAUGCCCUUUUUAGCGGGUGGGGGUCCGAGUACGACCCGAACCCUGUAGGAAAUGGGUGGGUUACCCUAAAAAAAUGUUUCAUUUUCUUGUUCCUAUUUUUACUUUUAUAGAUUUUUCUUUUUGAGAAGAACUUUUCUGAAAUUAAAAGAUCUAGGCCCCUAAAUCAAUCUGGUGUUGUUGACAGAAAAAAAAAAAAUAAUAUCAUUUCAUUUUGUCCUUGGAACAAAAAAAAAAACUUGAUACAUCUCGGACGAUUGUUCGGCUCCAUCUCAAUCAUAAUUAUUUUUUAUUAGUAUCAAAAUUUUGGGGUUGCUGGAUGACAUUAAGAUUGUAAUUCGACUUUAUAAUAGUUUGGUUGAUCACAAUAUGUGAUCGUGAACUAUUGUUAUCUAGUAUUUAUUAUUUGAUCGUAGUUUUGAAAUUUUUUGAUGUAUUGUAGUUAGAGCAAAAGAAACUCAAAAUAGUUAAAUACAAAUGAAACGAUUCGACAUUACGUUAUGUAAUUGUUCACCGCCGACAAUAGCGCUGCAAAAAUACAUUUGUUUCCUUUCUAUUAAAUCUUGUUGGUACGCCAUUAAAGAAACCUAUCCUCUGAGAAAGGGAGGAAUCAUAUGGUAAACGAAUCGUCAUCUACACAUAAACAAAGGGGGACUAAAUAUAGAAUAUGGGUGUUGAAACUUCAAAUCAAAGGAUGAUGGGACGAAAGAACAGGUUCAUGAUGAUAAGAUUUGAACUAUCAUGCAUAUUAAACUCAGGGUCAAGAAAGCCAACCAUCAUAUUCAAUAGCUAUCACAUUCAAUUAAAUUCAUGCGUUUUAUGAACUCCUUGGUUUGUAAUGCAAUGCAUGAUGUAAAUUCUCAACCAUUAUGUUGAGAUGUUGUUCUCACUUAUUGUUACAUAACAGAUCUGAACAGCCACCAAACAUCAAUAUGGUGACCAAUCCCUUUAGUAAUAUUCUUUACUUUUGCUGAAACUAAUAAUACCUUAAUAACAAAUGUAGGGUUUUGAAAAAUGACAUAUUGGUAACUUUCACGAAAUUGAACACUUUACAUAUUGUUCGAGACUCUUCAAAGUAUUUACUUCAUGAGUCAAAAGAAAAAAUUAGAUUACCAAUCUAGACUGCAACUCAUACCAAUCUUUCUCAGCUAGUUAUAAUUACUGAGGACUUUUGAGCCAACUUGUUGAACUAGGUUGAGAAUAAGGACUCAAACAAAUCUAGACACCUCUUCCUGCUGUAGUCUUCUUGCUAUAAAUUCACUUGUUCUAAUGAGCAUUUGUAUACCAUGCAUCAGCAACAAACAAAGCCUCAAAUUAGUUAUGGAUGUCUAUGUUUACUUCAACCCCAUCUCUCGCCUCAUUCUCCAUUUGAUGUCCCUGUUGUUUUUGGCUACUUCAUGCCUAAACACAAGCAGUACUAGUGUGGUAGGAUCAUGCAUGGAGGAAGAGAGACAAGCACUUCUCAGCUUUAAACAAGAUCUCACUGAUCCGUCUGGAAGGCUUUCUUCUUGGGUUGGUCACCACUGCUGUCAAUGGAGAGGCAUUUCAUGCAACAACCGCACUGGUCAUGUUGCAAUGGUAGACCUCCGCAAUCCAUAUCCAUACCUCUAUAAUGAUCUGUACUGGAACUCCACUGAAUUUGAAGAAUCUUGUUUGGGGGGUAAGUUGAAUCCUUCUCUGCUUGGCUUGAAACAUUUGAGUUACUUAGACUUGAGUGGCAAUGACUUCAAUGGGAUUUACAUUCCCAAAUUCAUAGCGCAGCUUACAAGUUUAAGGUAUCUCAAUCUUUCAAGUUCGUGGUCUGAAUCUUCAUUUGUAGGAGAGAUUCCCCCAUCUUUUAGUAACCUCUCUAACUUGAACUAUCUUGACAUUUAGUGGAAUUUUCAAACUUCUUCCAAAACCUUUAAUUGGCUUUCUCAUCUCUCUUCCCUAAAACACCUCAAUCUUGGAGGUGUGGACCUUAGCAGCACAUGAAUAAGUUGGCUGCAUGAUGUUAACAAGUUGACUUCACUCUUAGAGUUGCAUUUGUCUAAUUGUUGGAUUCAAAAUGAUGGAAACCAACUUCCACCCUCACUAUCCACAGUUAACUUGACAUCACUUUUGGUCCUUGAUAUGUCAUCAAAUAAUUUAAUCAGUUCUUCAUUUCCCAAAUGGAUGUUUAAUCUUUCUAGCCUUACAACACUUGAUCUAGCAGGCAAUCCUUUCAGUGAGCCCUCUCUUGAUGACUUUGCAACCCUAAGAUCUCUAGAACACCUUGAUUUAUCUGGUACGGGACUCAAAGAUCAAGUUCCAAAAUUCAUCGGAAAUUUGUGCAAGCUAAAGUCAUUAGGUCUUGCAAACAACAUGUUUGAUGGGGGGAUUGAAGAGUUUUUGAGUGGUUUUUCAAAUUGUUCAUCUAAUAGAAUGGAGUCACUAGAUUUAUCUCAUUGUGGGAUGGAAGGAAAAUUGCCUAAUUCAUUAGGAAUGAUAAAAAGCCUCCAGCAUCUUGACCUCAGUGAUAAUCUUCUCAAUGGUUCCAUUCCUGAAAGUUUGGGACAACUCUCUCAGCUAGUUACUCUAGAUUUAUCUCGAAACUCAUGGGAAGGUAGUUUAAGGGAAAUUCAUUUCACAAAUCUAACGAGAUUAGAGAUUUUUUCAAUAAGCACAUUCAAACUUGUGCCCGUCUUUUUUAACUUGAGUGAUUAUGAAUGGAUGCCUCCUUUCAAGCUCCAUAGUAUUUACAUAGACAAUUGCCAAGUAGGUGUUGGCUUCCCUUUAUGGCUUCAAUCUCAAACUGAGCUCUUGUAUAUCACACUAAGUAAUGCUGGAAUCUCAGGUCCAAUACCAGAGGAAUGGCUCUUUAAGAUAUCUUCUCAAAUCCAAACAUUGGAUUUAUCUUACAAUGACAUAACCGGAAAACUUCCUUUCAAAUUCAUCUUUCCAAAUCUAUAUAGUAUAGAUUUCAGCCAUAACCAAUUUGAUGGCCCUCUCCAGCUUUCGUCCACUAAUGUUCAAAUAUUAAGUGAGUUAUCUCUUGCUUAUAAUCACUUGAAUGAGACUAUUGCAUCAUCUAUUUGCACCAUUCAAUCUUUGGUUACCCUUGCACUGAACAACAAUCGGUUAAUUGGAAAAUUCCCUCGAGAAUGGGGCUUGUGGAGCAACAUAGAACUUGUCGAUGUCUCGAACAAUCAUCUGUCUGGUAACAUUCCAACUUCAACAGGUAUUCCAAGUUCUCUUGUACUAUUAAGGAUGGACAACAACCAUUUUAAUGGAUAUAUUCCUUCUUCUUUGCAAAAUUGCUCAUUUUUUGAAAGACUUUAUCUUGGAGGCAACAAUUUUACUGGAAGCAUACCCUUUUGGACAAGACCAGAAGUAUCCCAAUUGGAUGUGCUACAAUUGCGAGCCAACUUUCUAAGUGGACAUAUACCUCAACAAUUGUGCAAUCUUCCUUCUCUUCACAUCCUAGACCUGGGUCACAAUAACUUGUCAGGGACUAUUCCAAAGUGUUUGAUUAAUUUGACAUCUCUAGUCCUUUUUCCGAGUACCUCCUCAAUCUCUAUUGAACUACAUGAUCCAACAGUUGUGACUUUGAAAGGAAGAGAACUGGAAUAUGACUUUUUAAGAGCAGAACUUUUGACCAUUAUUGAUUUUUCAUCAAAUGGUUUAACAGGUGCAAUUCCAGAAGAAAUAAGCGGUCUGAUUGCAUUGGGUACCUUAAACUUGUCCAUGAACCAAUUAAGUGGAAACAUCCCUUCAAACAUUGGGAACUUGAAGUUGCUCGAAACUCUAGACCUCUCACAUAACCAGCUUUCAAGACAGAUUCCCCAAAGCAUUUCUUCUCUGACCUUCUUGUCUCACUUGAACUUGUCAUACAACAACUUGACCGGUAGAAUUCCUUCAGGCAAUCAGCUGCAGGCGCUGGAUGAUCCAUCUAUUUAUAAAGGCAAUCCUUCACUUUGUGGGUUUCCUCUUUCAAAAUGCUCAGAAGAAAGAGAUGACAGGCCUCAUGAAGAAGACAAUAAAGAUCAUGUAGAUGUUGGUGAAAGGCUUGGUUUAUAUGUCAGCGUUGUGAUUGGUUUUGUUAUAGGCUUCUGGGGUGUUUGCGGCACGUUGAUUAUGAACAAGUCAUGGAGGUAUGCCUAUUUUCAAUUCUUUGAUAAUGUCAAAGAGAAAGUAGUGCUAGCAAUUGCACUGAAAGUAGCUCGAGUCCAAAGAAGAUGGUGAUCUCAUCAUGCAUGUAUAAUAGCUACGAACCUUAUGUACAAGAUACAAGCAAGCAAUAAAACAAGCCAAGGUAGUAAAAUGGUGCCAUUUAUGAUUUUAUUUAUUUAUUUGUUCCUACAUGUUUGAAGAAGACUUCAAUUGCGAAUGUUGAGAACUUCGGAUCAUAUGGCAAGUAGGUAGUAGAAUGAUAAAACAAAUAAUCUUGAUUAUAUAUAUCUCGGACUAAUCAAAGUUAUGCUUCAUCUACUAUUUGAAUAAUUAAGUUUGAUGAAACAAUUGUUUUCUUUUUUAAAAUCUGAUUUUAAUGCCUCCUCUUUAUCUACUAUUUGAAUAAUUAAGUUUGAUGAAACAAUUGUUUUCAGUUAACAAAAUUGAAACCCAAAAUUAACCCAAAAUCAACACAUGAGGUGAGGACCUGAGGUCGAAUAAGAGGUACUCUUAUUAUGGACACUUAAUUUGAUCGGAUCAAAAAUGAAAAUAAAAUGAAUGAAUAAUUUAAGUCAUCACUAUUCUUCAUUCAAUUUUCGCAUACGGCGAUUUGAGGACUUGCACAUUAAUGGUGCAAGUGCACAUUGGUGCAUAGAAUCCGCUCCGUCUGAAUAUUACAAGUGAAAGAAGUGAGAUGGAAGCACUUUUAUGUCUGUGUUCCUUGCUCCCUAUGAUAUGAAAUGGGAUACUGAUAUGUUGGAUUCAAGAUGAUUGUAUAAUUUAUAGAGAAAAUACAUUUAGGACAAAAGCAAUUAGCGUUUGCUCUUAUGGUAUGUAUUAACUAUUACGUGAUAAUUUCUAAGGCAUUGCAACAAACCCUCAAUACUUAAUUUCCAGUAAUAACUAUCAUGGCAUUAAGUCAUUAACAAGUAACCUUAGGAAGAUUAAGAACAGCAAAGGAUGUGAUAUUAAUAUAAGAAAGGGUGGCAGGAAGGACAGAGAGGUCACAACUAGGCAAAUGCAAUUCAACAAGUGAAGGGAGCAUAUUAACACUAGGAAGCCAAUAUGGUGCAGCCAUGGUGAGGUUCGCGAGACCCAAGUUUAGGUACUUCAAGGAAGAAAGCUUAGGAAGCCAUCUGAGGUCACUCUUUAGGUAGUUACCCUUGAUAUCCAAAUAAACUAAUCUGAGAGGUUUCCAAGAUUGGGUGGAAUGACUCCGCGAAAAGAUGACCAAGAGAGAUCGAGGCAUUUUAGUUUCUCUAGUGAUCCUAUGAAAGUUGGAAGUUGGAGACCCCAGAGACCCCGUAUUCAUUCAUGCUCAAGUCCAAGUAAACCAAAUCUUUCAAAACAAGCAAAGAAGAGUUGAUCUCACCUCCUAAAGCAUGCAGGGUCACAUCAGGGUCAUAAAACCAACCAUUGCCAUAUGAGUAGCGAAAAAUGUCAUAUGGGUUACGAAGAUUGAGGCUAACCAAAGGUCCAGUUAAGUUGUUGCAGCCUACACCUUUCCAUUUGCAGCAAUCUGACUUCUGCCACCCAAGACGAAAGCUGGUCUGAGGGAUCUGUGAGGCCUUCUUUGAGCUUGAGUAGAGAAUUCUUCUCGAUCUCCAUACAACGUGUGUUAACAUCAGCCUUGCUGCAGAAACCAAGUGGGAUUGUUUCAAAGAAUAAAAUUCCUGACAGUAUCAGAAUUGAAACAAGUUUAAUGGAAUUACGUCUGUGACCCAUGCUUCUGAUGAAAGCAUGCAGUGGAAUGCUAUUAUUGACAGAUGGUUCGGCACUAUUUAAAAGGAUUAGAAUUAACAGGAUAUUUCAUAUAAAACUUGCUAAUAUUGGUAAAUUUCAUAAUCAGUUCGAUGCCAAGAAAUUUGCAAGCCUUCUAGAUCCACCAAUAUUCCAUGCUUCAUUUUCGAAGUCAUUGCGACAGGCCCUCAAUACUUAAUUUCCAGUAGCAACUAGCAAGGCAUUAAGUCAUUAACAAGAAACAACAGGUCCAGUGGAGACAAUUAUAAUAAACUUAGAAGAGACUACUACUACUGCUACGAGACUACAACGCAAGAGGAAACUACCUUUUCACCGUAGACUCGAUAUAGUUCAACAUCAAGACUUCCAAUGUUUUCGACCCAGUCAAGACUCCAGGUUCCUUGUCUUAUUUAUAGUGACUGAAUUUCAUCAUGUUUAAUAUAGUUAACUGCAGAUAUGAGUCAAGCACAGUAAGAGAGUCCAAUAAACUUUGAUCAUCCAGAGACUUCCAAAUCAAUCAUUCCAAUUCUAACUAAGGCCCAUUAGUUGUAAGAUGCUUCUUAACAUAUUUGAAUCCAUAUUGACAUCAAAUGCUGGUUUUAUUCAUACCUCCAAACAGACCUUUCUUGAAGCAGUUUCAAGUGGUAGUAAAUAUAUGAAUGUUUUACAUCAAUAAUAUAUAUAAAUUCCGGCCAAAAGAAACAAGCUUUACAUUAAGGAAAGGAUAUGUUUAUUACAUUGCUUUAUUUUCUGAAUCGAAAAAAGAGUAAACAAGUGCUUUUAAAUUUCACCUGUAAUGAAACAUAUCACCACGCUUCCAACAGCUGGUGAUCCAUAGACGUCCAAAUACACUAUGCUUACAACAUGCUUAAUUAUUUGGACGUCUGCAUUAGCUGGAAACUGAGGAGAUUCAUGGCCUUGGCAACCGGUUAGUAACGGAUACCCAAAAAGAGGAUCAUUGCCUUCAUUGGAAUGGUGGCGAUGAGUUGGAACAGAGAUGUCAUGGCUGUGAAGCAGAGCCGCUGUUUUGGACGAAUAAUAUGUGGGCUAGGUGGAGAAGUGUUAUGUUUGGGCUGUCGGAGGUGACGUGGGCCCAACAGGUUAAAGGGUCCACCAUUUAAAAAAAAAAUAAGUGUUUCCUCUAAUGGGUAUUUUGGUCUUAUGCGGGCUAGAGAAGAAGUGUUAUGGCUAGGUGGUUGGACGGGAUGUGGGCCCAACGGGUCGGUGAGGUCCACCAUUUAAAACGAAAAAAAAAACUAAUCUAAUUUGGUCUUAUGCGGGCUAGGCAAAGAAGGGCUAUGGCUAUUUCGUUACGGGUUAGGCGGUUGGACGUAACGUUGGCCCAACGGAUAAAAGGGUCCACCAUUUAAAAUAGGUAUUUUGGUAUUCCGUGACUUUCAUCUUCUUCUCUAAAAUCCGUAUUCUCGAGUAACAUUUAGACGUCUAUGGAUACAACAUGCUUAUUUUUUAGUUUUUACAGUGUGUUUUUAUGCCAGUCAAUUGAUAGGUUGCAAAGAUUUGGCGUCAUUUUCAGAAAGAAAACGAAACAAUCGUAGGUUGUACGCACUUGGUAUAGUUGUAUGUACAGGUCGGGGCUAGGACUAAAGUAAAAGAACAAGAAGAUAUAUGCAAGAAGCAAUAGUUUAGUUUAGAACAGAAAGAUCUUUACAAACUCUUAGGAUCAUAAACAACAAGCUUUCAAAACCCUGCUCUAUUCCUGAAUGAAAAAUUGUGAAGUUAAAACUUAAAACUUAAAACUAAUUAAAUUUCCGAGAAAAUUAGAUAAAAACCCAAAAUAUUAGACCUCUUUUAAGAUAAACCCAUACAUAUUUUUCUUUUAUUUUACACCAGACAUACUAUAUAGAGCAAAUGUCUAUAAUUAAUAGUUUUCUUCAUUUUUCGGUUUCUCUAAUUUGCCCUUCAGACAGUAGAAAACUAAAUUUGGUAUAUUUCUCAAUUUUAGCAUCAAUUUGAAACUCAAAUAGUAGCUAAAAUUUAGUUGGAUUUAACUUUGUCAUAAUCAAUUACAUUCUUUAAUUUCUUACCUUGUUAUUACUAACUUAAGUGUGUGUGUGUGUAUAUAUAUAUAUAUAUAUGUUAUAUACAUAAGUAUGUCAUUUGUAAUAGGAUGAUACUUUUCAUUCCUAAGCUCACAUUUGGUGUCUUUCUACGUAGUCGAAAAAUGUCUAAUUGUAAGGUACACGUUCCUUUGAUUAAUUUUCUUUUUUUUAGGUAUAUUAUUCUAUCAUUUCUUAUCCUAAUCGAGAGAACAAUUUAUUCUCUACUACUUACAUUUCUAAUAUACCUAUUAAGUAGGGUAUGAUAUGAUAAUAUACCUAAAAACAUUUCUAAUAUACCUAUUAAGUAGGGUAUGAUAUGAUAAUAUACCUAAAAAGAAGAAACCUAAAAUUGGGUUUAGGAUAUAGGGUUAAGGUAUAGGGUUUAGGGUAUAGGUUCAGGGUAUAGGGUAUAGGGUUUAGGGUAUAGGGUUUAUGGUUUAGGGUUUAGGGUUUAGGGUUUAGGGUAUAGGGUAUAGGGUUUACGGUUUAGUGUUUAGGGUAUAAGGUUUAGGGUAUAGGGUUUAGAUCAUAUAUCUUAUUCAUAUUAUAUUUUACCUUAUAUAUAGAUUAGAGAAUGAAUUCCUUUAAUCUAGAUUUUUUUCAUAAAAAUAAAGAAAACUACGUGAUACUUGCAAAUUGAUUGAAAAAUGUUAGUGUUAGAAGAAAAACUUAUAAUUAAGGUAUUUAAGACAACAUCAAUUAAACUUAUUUAUUAUAUUUAUAUGUUAUAGUUGAAUUGUGGCAAUUGUGUAAAAUUUAGAAAAAAUAGGACAUAAUAUUUAUCAUAAUUGAUACAUUUUAAAUGUCUAUCUGAUAGGCUUCAAAAUUGGGUGUAUAUGAAAAUUCCCCUAAAUUUCAUGUGCCCUCUGAUAUUUUCGUAUACAAGCAGCCUUCACUCUAUGAAUAAUGAAGUGGCCGGAAAUAUGUUCUCCUCCAAAACUUAAGGUUCCACAAACGCCCCAGAACCCCAUAUGAUGAAACCAAUCACCGCGCUGUUGAUGAGCCCCAACAUUUCAAAGCCAUUGUCUUCUCCACCACCUCCUCUUGGAACUGGAGGCGCUCCGCCAUUGACUUGGCAAUCAGGCAACGGAUAACCACAAAGAGCGGCAUUGCCUUCAUAUAUUGAUGGAUCAACGGUUUUGAAAUCACUCGUAUAAAAAAAAAACGGUUCUGAAAUCACGAAGGGUGAGCUCUCCUUAAGAACCCAUUUACCAAUUUUGUUUAAACAAAAUUUACCCUGCUUUGCUUAAAAUUGUUGACGCUUUGCUUGUACUCUGAAUAAAGAAAUUGUAUAUUUUUCCACAAUUCAAACCAGUAGCUUUAGUGCUUUACCGAGCAAGAAAUUGGUGCAUGUUUUACUGAGUUUGCAGUUUCUAAAGUUUGUGUAUGCUUUUUAGACUUGCGACAACGGUUGAAAGAACCAAAGAAUUAAUUGAACACAUAAGACAAGGAUCACAUAUGCCUUGUUUUUGCAAUUAUUUUUGCCUAAUAUAUACGUGGAUGCAAACCUUUGUUAAUUGGUUCCAUUGGUGGUCGGUGUCCUUGAAAUUGUUCGUUCCAUGAUUGGUAAGUAAUAUAUAAGACUGGUACGACCUUUUAUUGUAAAUCAAGUAUGUGUACGUUGAUAAUCAAGUUGAAUUGGUACCUCAUUGUUCUUUAACAUUAUGCGUGCAUGGUUAUACUCGGUUCUCAAUCAUCACUAAGAGGAUAUGAAUGAUCAUAUUUCACAUAAGGAAAAGAUGGGUGAAACUACAUCAGUAAGGGCAACUUUAGCAGAUUAUAUAUUUUAGUUUUUAGUUAUUUUCGAUAGCGUGUUUAACUUUUUUGAUAUUUUUGGAGCUCUAGCAGACUAACCAAAGUUUAGCAAUUAUGACUUUUAGUUAUCUCACUAGCUAGAUAUAGAGAGCGAGAUGACUCAGAUGAGGCUAACUAUAAUUUAAUACAUUCCUUGUAAGAUAUUUUACGUGAUAUAUAAAUAUAUUUAAACUAUUUAAUCUUUAUUUGAAGAAUAAUGUUGAUGUAAUGCUAGCUAAAAUAGAGAGUAUUGAUGCAGCUGCAUUUCUAAAGUGACUAACCAAAAUGACAUUUUAGCUAAUUUGAUUAAAAUUUAACUAAAAAAUGGCUAACAAUGUUAAAGAUGUUCUAAUAUAUCUUUGUUUCAAGCUGUGUUGAAGUUUAAUAUAUGAUCCGGAAUGUACGUUGUCGAUCUUCUCCACUUGGAAAAUUAAGGUUGAGCCUUUUGGUGGGAUACGAAACAAAUCCCACCGGAUAUUUAUCGUCUCUCAUUUGCGUGGUGAAUCAAGCAACUUUCGUUACUUCAAGAUUUUGAUGUUCUGGUUUAAUUAUAUAUGUUUUCUCCAAUGAAAAUAACAUUUAUGAGGGCGAUCAUCUUUUGAUAUAGACCAGCUGAUAAGGUGAAAAGGACACUGGGGGUGAUAUAGCUGGAAGCAAAUCACCUGUUCCGGAAAACCCUAUGCCAACCCUUUGCCACAAAUAGUAAUUUGACAUCUGGCAUCUGGCCACUAAAUUUAACUAAGUUAACACUGUUAAUACUUAGGAGUGCAAGAAAAAAGGAAAAAGGAAAAAGAAAAAGAAAAAAACCCUUUGAAAACCUAUGAAACCCAGAAAUUUCAAUCCCAGCCUUUUUCCCCUUGCUUUCUUCUUCCAGAAACCCAGCCUUCUCUUUGUUCUUCUUCUUAUCAGAUCAAGACUCAUUUGUUCUUCUUCUUCUUCUGUAAUUAAGUCCAACUUUACCCAAAACUAAGUUUUCCAGAUCUAUAGCCCUCUCAAACCCACUUACAUAACCUCAUCGGAAAAAAAAGACCUCACUUCCAUAAGCUAUAGAUCUGGAAAUUCAUAGCCCUCACCACAUCUGAUAAGAAGAAACAAAAUCAAAUUGCAACAACAAUUAAACGAAAACAAAUCUCAAUUACUCUCACAACAUCUGCCACACCGAUUAUCAAGUUUCACAAUUCUCAAUUGCAACAACAAAAUCUCAAUCUUCUUGGCCUGCAAAAUCAGCUACGAUUUUCAUUUUCUCAUUUUGGAAACCACAACUAUAUUUGUUCUGCCUCUCUCCUCUUCUCUGAUCUGACGUCCGUCGGCGACUUUAAAUUCAGGAUAUCUUGCAUUCACACCCUGGCCCUCCUAAAGAUCGAAUUUUCGUUUGAACGGUUGAACCUCUCAGAACUUUUGGGAAUGGCACCAUUGGUCUUGAUUUCACAUCCAUAUAGAGAACCCAAAAUGAGAAGAAAAUGGGAUAUGAACUUAGAUCAACCAGAAAGAGUUGCCCUCGUGUUUUUGUUUUUGUUUUUUUUUUCGUCCUCCACAAACUAAACGGUGUUAGUAAAUAAUGAGUUAGUGGCCAGAUGUCAAAUUACUAUUUGUGGCACAGGGUGGGCAUAGGGUUUUCCGGAACAGGAGAUUUUCUUCCGAUAUAGCUAGACUCGUUGUACGUCCAAACAUGGACUAAUAUUAACUUUUAGCUAGACCAGAAAAUUCGCAAUACCGAAGACGUAGAAAUUAAAGACGUCUUUGAUGAUGGAGACCUUAACUUAUAAAAUGGGAUGAC
rnacentral:lncRNA from 1 species